rnacentral:rRNA from 1 species
GACGAACGCUGGCGGCGUGCCUAAUACAUGCAAGUCGAGCGGAUGGAAGGAAGCUUGCUUCCUAAAGUCAGCGGCGGACGGGUGAGUAACACGUGGGCAACCUGCCCCUAAGAUCGGGAUAACUUCGGGAAACCGGAGCUAAUACCGGAUAUGAUUAUUUCUCACAGGAGAGAUAAUGGAAAGACGGUUUCGGCUGUCACUUAGGGAUGGGCCCGCGGCGCAUUAGCUAGUUGGUGAGGUAACGGCUCACCAAGGCGACGAUGCGUAGCCGACCUGAGAGGGUGAUCGGCCACACUGGGACUGAGACACGGCCCAGACUCCUACGGGAGGCAGCAGUAGGGAAUCUUCCGCAAUGGACGAAAGUCUGACGGAGCAACGCCUCGUGAGUGAAGAAGGUUUUCGGAUCGUAAAACUCUGUUGUUAGGGAAGAACAAGUACCAUAGUAACUGAUGGUACCUUGACGGUACCUAACCAGAAAGCCACGGCUAACUACGUGCCAGCCGCCGCCGUAA